rnacentral:rRNA from 1 species
UACGGAGGAUCCAAGCGUUAUCCGGAUUUAUUGGGUUUAAAGGGUGCGUAGGCGGAACGAUAAGUCAGUGGUGAAAGCCUGCAGCUUAACUGCAGAACUGCCAUUGAUACUGUCGAUCUUGAGUACAUUUGAUGUGGGCGGAAUGUGUCAUGUAGCGGUGAAAUGCUUAGAUAUGACACAGAACACCGAUUGCGAAGGCAGCUCACAAAACUGUAAACUGACGCUGAGGCACGAAAGCGUGGGUAGUCAAACA